rnacentral:ribozyme from 1 species
UGCCCAGCAACUCCUACCCCUACCUCCGCCUGGUACCGGCUGGAAACUACGAGCAGCCUAACCAACCCCGGUGGGAACUUUGGUCGUAGGCUGACAGGGAAGG